AGCGAACGCUGGCGGCAGGCCUAACACAUGCAAGUCGAACGAACCUUUCGGGGUUAGUGGCGGACGGGUGAGUAACACGUGGGAACGUGCCUUUAGGUUCGGAAUAACUCAGGGAAACUUGUGCUAAUACCGAAUGUGCCCUUCGGGGGAAAGAUUAAUCGCCUUUAGAGCGGCCCGCGUCUGAUUAGCUAGUUGGUUGAGGUAAUGGCUCACCAAGGCGACGAUCAGUAGCUGGUCUGAGAGGAUGAUCAGCCACAUUGGGACUGAGACACGGCCCAAACUCCUCCGGAGGCAGCAGUGGGGAAUCUUGCGCAAUGGGCGAAAGCCUGACGCAGCCAUGCCGCGUGAAUGAUGAAGGUCUUAGGAUUGUAAAAUUCUAUCACCGGGGACGAUAAUGACGGUACCCGGAGAAGAAGCCCCGGCUAACUUCGUG
rnacentral:rRNA from 1 species